rnacentral:rRNA from 2 species
CCCGGUUGAUCCUGCCGGACCUGACUGCUAUCGGGGUGGGUAGCCAUGCGAGUCUGCGUCACGGGCAACGUGACGCGGCGCACGGCUCAGUAAAACAUGCUCAAACUGCCCUACAGACCGGGAUAACCUCUGGAAACGGAGGAUAAUCCCGGAUAGGUAAGAACUCUUGGAAUAGGUUCUUACCGAAAGGGUGCGGCGCUGAUGCCGCAUCGCACCGCUGUAGGAUGUGAGCAUGGCCUAUCAGGUUGAUGGUGAGGUAACGGCUCACCAUGCCUAAGACGGGUACGGGCCGUGAUAGCGGGAGCCCGGAGAUGGGUUCUGAGACAAGAACCCAGGCCCUACGGGGCGCAGCAGGCGCGAAACUUCUGCAAUGCGCGAAAGCGCGACAGAGUCACCCCGAGUGCCAUCCGCUGAGGAUGGCUUUUGCCCUGUGUAAAAAGCAGGGCGAAUAAGCGGGGGGCAAGUUCUGGUGUCAGCCGCCGCGGUAAUACCAGCCCCGCGAGUGGUCAGGACGAUUAUUAAGCCUAAAGCGUCCGUAGCCGGCCUUGUAAGUUCUCCCUUAAAUGGUAUGGCUCAACCAUACCGUUGGGGAGAAUACUGCAAGGCUAGGGGGCGGGAGAGGCGGGUGGUACUUGAGGGGUAGUGGCAAAAUACGAUAAUCCCUCAAGGACCACCAGUGGCGGAGGCGACCCGCUAGAACGCGCCCGACGGUGAGGGACGAAAGCUGGGGGAGCAAAAGGGAUUAGAGACCCCUGUAGUCCCAGCUGUAAACUAUGCGGGCUAAAUGUUGGGUGAGGUUAGUCCUCACCCAGUGUUGCAGGGAAGCCGUUAAGCCCGCCGCUUGGGGAGUACGGCCGCAAGGCUGAAACUUAAAGGAAUUGGCGGGGGAGCACCACAAGGGGUGGAGGCUGCGGUUCAAUUGGAGUCAACGCCGGAAACCUUACCAGAGGCGACAGCAGGAUGAAGGUCAGGCUAAAGACCUUACUAGACGAGCUGAGAGGAGGUGCAUGGCCGUCGCCGGCUCGUGCCGUGAGGUGUCCGGUUAAGUCCGGAAACGAGCGAGACCCCCGCGCCUAUUUGCGACGGUAACUAUAUUAGUUACCGGCACAAUAGGCGGACUGCCGGCGUAAGCCGGAGGAAGGUGGGGGCUACGGCAGGUCAGUAUGCCCCGAAACCUCUGGGCUACACGCGGCCUGCAAUGGGUGGGACAAUGGGUUACCGAACCCGAAAGGGGGAGGCAAUCCCAGAAACCCACCCUCAGUCGGAAUCGUGGGUUGCAACUCACCCACGUGAAUCGCGGAAUCCCUAGUAAUCGCGCGUCACUAUCGCGCGGUGAAUACGUCCCUGUUCCUUGCACACACCGCCCGCCGCUCCACCCAAGCCGAACCUGAAUGAGGGGCAGGCAAGUCCUGUCACAAAUUCAGGUUCGGCAAGGGGGGAGAAGGCGUAACAAGGUUGCCGUAGGGGAACCUGCGGCAG